AUAGGUAUGUUGGAAUUGGUAGACAGAUCCGAUUUAGGUUCGGAUGGAAUAAAUGCCGUGCAAGUUCAAGUCUUGCUACCUAUA